rnacentral:rRNA from 1 species
UACAGAGGGGGCAAGCGUUAUUCGGAAUUAUUGGGCGUAAAGGGCGCGUAGGCGGUCGGACAAGUGGAAGGUGAAAUCCCCGGGCUUAACCUGGGAACUGCCCUCCAAACUGUUUGACUUGAGCUCGGGAGAGGUGAGUGGAAUUCCCAGUGUAGCGGUGAAAUGCGUAGAUAUUGGGAGGAACACCAGUGGCGAAGGCGGCUCACUGGACCGGAACUGACGCUGAGGCGCGAAGGCCAGGGGAGCAAACGGG